rnacentral:rRNA from 1 species
GACGAACGCUGGCGGCGUGCUUAACACAUGCAAGUCGAACGGAGAGGCCCUGCUUUUGUGGGGUGCUCGAGUGGCGAACGGGUGAGUAACACGUGAGUAACCUGCCCUUGACUUUGGGAUAACUUCAGGAAACUGGGGCUAAUACCGGAUAGGAGCUCCUGCUGCAUGGUGGGGGUUGGAAAGUUUCGGCGGUUGGGGAUGGACGCGCGGCUUAUCAGCUUGUUGGUGGGGUAGUGGCUUACCAAGGCUUUGACGGGUAGCCGGCCUGAGAGGGUGACCGGCGACAUUGGGACUGAGAGACGGCACAGACUCCUACGGGAGGCAGCAGUGGGGAAUAUUGCACAAUGGGCGGAAGCCUGAUGCAGCAACGCCGCGUGCGGGAGGACGGCCUUCGGGUUGUAAACCGCUUUCGCCUGUGACGAAGCGUGAGUGACGGUAAUGGGUAAAGAAGCACCGGCUAACUACGUG